rnacentral:rRNA from 1 species
AGAAUCAACGCUGGCGGCGUGCCUAACACAUGCAAGUCGAACGAGAAAGUGGAGCAAUCCAUGAGUAAAGUGGCGCACGGGUGAGUAACACGUGACUAACCUACCCUUGAGUGGGGAAUAGCUUCGGGAAACCGAGGCUAAUACCGCAUAAUACCUACGGGUCAAAGGAGCAAUUCGCUUAAGGAGGGGUCGCGGCAGAUUAGUUAGUUGGCAGGGUAAUGGCCUACCAAGACGGUGAUCUGUA